AUCCACACCUGCGAGAACCCAGCGCCUCACGAAAGGGGUCUUGGCACGUACUAAAUAUUUUUAGAUAGCUCUUAGGUGAAUAGUGCAUCUUUUGAUGAAGAGCAAGACUUGAAUGAAGACUUCCACAAGAAAUAGAAAAAGAAAUGAACUUCUGCAUUUUAAAUAAAAGCCAAAAAAACAUAUCCAAAAAAUAUAUCCAGAGAGUGCCCUUUGCAAUCCUCAAGAGUCCAGAAAGAUGCCACAUGCUGAAGAGCUCAAAGGAAGCACACAAAAUGUUGAAUUCUAUAAAAAACAACAGACAAACCUGCUGCAACUAGAUAAUACAGCAGAAGUAAAUUUUGCAUGUUGUAGAAGAGGAAAAAAGACAAAAUUAAACUAUUUUUUUGUGUA